AUGAAAUUGAUCUCCCCGUGCAGAAGCGGGGAUAAUACCAUAAGACGAGAAGACCCUAUGGAGCUUUAGACGUCAGAGCAGCUCAUGUAAAGCACCCCUUAACAAAGGAAAAAACCAAAUGAAGCCUGCCCUAAUGUCUUUGGUUGGGGCGACCGCGGGGAAAUACAAAACCCCCAUGUGGAGUAGGAAUACACAUUCCUAAACCCAAGAGCUCCCGCUCUAAUGAACAGAAAUUCUGACCAAUAAGAUCCGGCACACGCCGAUCAACGGACCGAGUUACCCUAGGGAUAACAGCGCAAUCCCCUUAAAGAGCCCUUAUCGACAAGGGGGUUUACGACCUCGAUGUUGGAUCAGGACAUCCUAAUGGUGCAGCCGCUAUUAAGGGUUCGUUUG
rnacentral:rRNA from 1 species